UAGUUUUUAUGCUAAGCUGGAAAAUAAUUAGUUUUUUAAUCAAGCUUGUGCACUACAUGAGAUUUCUGACUAUUUCUUGUCAUUUGUGCUGCGUUAAUGUCAGUUACGAAGAGAUGCCUUUGCCAACAGAGAUAGACGCACAAUCGUAUCUAUUUCAGUAAAAGAGCAUUUCAAGGAUGAUACAGGAGAAUUUGCACAGUUUAUUCAAAUCUGCACAGAAGAAUUUGCACAGUUUAUUCAAAUCCUCAAUGAUUUUGGGUCAAAGACAUGUGAUGCGAUUGGGGUUCAGCUGAGCCAUGAACUUCUUUUAAGUUGCAAUAAAUUCCUCCCAAAAGGCUUCGAAAUCUUGUGUCCUUCCAAAGAUUGUCUACGAAACAAACAACGAUUUCAGCUUAAGGAAACCCUAAGAUAUAUUCAGAAGAUUAAGACGCCCUUCCAAAAUGAAGAAUAUAUACGCAAGGGAUUAUUUGAAACAAAUCAGGCAUACUGGAUACAGUGGAUUUGAGUUGGACAUUCUCAUAAAAAAUUCAAGCGUGUACACGAGUUACUGGAAAAGCAACAUGACUACGCAACUCAGACAAGUGCUCAUUUCAGAAUUGUAAACCACCUGACAGCUAUGAAUUUAAGGUGCAUUGAGCUCAUUUAUAGUAAUUGCGGGCUUCGUAUAAUAGAUCUGUUGCUUGAAAAGCCAGAUCGUUGUUUACCAGUAAUUGUGAAACGUCUUCAACAAAAGCAUGAAGAAUGGGUCAAUUAUCGGACCAGAUUCAACAAAGGUUGGGCAGAAAGUACUAUCAGAGAUCUUUUGACCACCAUAGUCCCUGCUUUAACCAAAGAGAUGCAAAAUGUUUGAGCAAAAAGAGGAGAACCCAUUUCCAUUUAUGAUUUGGAAUAUAUUAUGGGCAGAUUGUUGUAUAUAAUAUUAAUUUCUGACAUCUGAAUCUCUAUGUGCUUCUUGUUGGAAUAUUUAAUUUCUCUCAUUUGGCAUGAGAACAAUUGUAACGAAAUAUUUAUUUCUAAAUUGUCAAACAUGGUUGAGUUUUCUCUCAA